rnacentral:rRNA from 1 species
GACGAACCGUGCGACCGUUGUUCGGAAUCACUGGGCUUAAAGGGUGCGUAGGCGGGCUCGCCAGUCUGUGGUGAAAGCCCCCGGCUUAACCGGGGAAGUGCCGUGGAUACUGCGAGUCUUGAGGAGGGUAGGGGCAUCUGGAACGCUGGGUGGAGCGGUGAAAUGCGUUGAUAUCCAGCGGAACUCCGGUGGCGAAGGCGAGGUGCUGGACCCUUUCUGACGCUGAACCACGAAAGCCAGGGGAGCAAACGGG